GAAAUGCGAUAAGUAAUGUGAAUUGCAGAAUUCAGUGAAUCAUCGAAUCUUUGAACGCACCUUGCGCCCUUUGGCUAUUCCGAAGGGCAUGCCUGUUUGAGUAUCAUGAACACCUCAACUCUCAUGGCUUGCCAUGAUGAGCUUGGACUUUGGGGGUCUUGCUGGCCUGCGGUCGGCUCCUCUCAAAUGAAUCAGCUUUCCAGUGUUUGGUGGCAUCACGGGUGUGAUAAAUAUCUACGCUUGUGGUUUCCUGCCAGGUAACCUUCAGUGAUGGAGGUUCACUGGGGCUCAUAAAUGUCUCUCCUCAGCGAAGACAGCUUUGUAAAUGUUUGAUCUCAAAUCAGGUAGGACUACCCGCUGAACUUAAGCAUAUCAAUAAGCGGAGGAAAAAGAAACUAACAAGGAUUCCCCUAGU
rnacentral:rRNA from 1 species